rnacentral:misc_RNA from 1 species
CACCAGGACCUUGCUUCGAACAAACCUAUCUUUUCUCUCAAAAAUGCAGGGAGGACAUAUGGAAGUUGAAGAGCCUCUUAGGCUCUCCUCAGUGCUAACUUCUUCAAAACCUAGCCAUUUGCCUUCGCUAACCAAAUUAGUUGGAACACUUGGACCAAAUUCGCGGUCUGUUGAAACCAUUGAGGCAUGUCUAAAUGCAGGAAUGUCAGUUGCACGGUUCGACUUUUCAUGGUUAGAUAGUGACUACCACCAAGAAACUCUUCAGAAUUUGAGGCUAGCUAUGAAAAAUGCUAAGAAACUAUGUGCUGUUAUGCUGGAUACUGUAGGCCCAGAAAUUCCAAUUUGUAACCAGAAUGGGAAACCAAUUGAGCUGAAGGCUGAUGACCAUAUAACUAUUACUUCAGAUGUUUCUAGAGAACCAUCAGCAGAGUUUUUACCCGUAGAUUAUUCUGGACUCUCCAAGAUUCUGAAGAAGGGCGACACUGUUUUUCUUGGUCAGUAUCUCUUCACAGGAAGUGAAAACACCUCUGUAUGGCUUGAGGUUUUAGAGACAAAUGGCCAAGAUGUCAUGUGUCUCAUAAAAAACACUGCCACUCUUGCGGGCUUUAUAUUAAUGCAUGUUUCUCAAGUGUAUGAAAGUUUGCCAAAUUUAAGUGAUAAGGAUAAAAAGGUUAUUUCGGAGUGGGG